ACGGAGGGUACGAGCGUUAAUAGGAAUCACUGGGCGUAAAGCGCACGUAGGCGGUGUCGUAAGUCGGAUGUGAAAGCCCUCGGAUAAACCGGGGAACUGCAUUCGAUACUGCGAUGCUUGAGUGCCGGAGAGGGUGGCGGAAUUACAGGUGUAGGAGUAAAAUCCGUAGAUAUCUGGAGGAACACCAGUGGCGAAGGCGGCCCCCUGGCCGGCAACUGACGCUGAGGUGCGAAAUCGUGGGGAUCAAACAG
rnacentral:rRNA from 1 species